UAAUACGGAGGGUGCAAGCGUUAAUCGGAAUUACUGGGCGUAAAGCGUGCGUAGGCGGUUUAUUAAGUCAGAUGUGAAAGCCCCGGGCUUAACCUGGGAACUGCAUUUGAAACUGGUCGACUAGAGUAUGGUAGAGGAGAGUGGAAUUUCUGGUGUAGCGGUGAAAUGCGUAGAUAUCAGAAGGAACAUCAAUGGCGAAGGCAGCUUUCUGGACCAAUACUGACGCUGAGGUACGAAAGCGUGGGUAGCAAACAGGAUUAGAUACCCUGGUAGUCCACGCCGUAAACGAUGAUAACUAGCCGUUGGGGGGAUUUACCCUUUAGUGGCGAAGCUAACGCGUUAAGUUAUCCGCCUGGGGAGUACGGCCGCAAGGUUA
rnacentral:rRNA from 1 species